CACCCAUAUUGCACCAGAAGGUGGGAGUAUGGCACAUAAAACUGGGCAGGGUUCUACUCUGCUGUAGACAGGGUUUCUAGGAGUUGGAAUUGACUUGGUG